GCCCUUGAGUUUGAUCCUGGCUCAGGACGAACGCUGGCGGCGUGCUUAACACAUGCAAGUCGAACGAUGAACCGCUUUCGGGCGGGGAUUAGUGGCGAACGGGUGAGUAACACGUGGGCAAUCUGCCCUGCACUCUGGGACAAGCCCUGGAAACGGGGUCUAAUACCGGAUAUGACUGUCCAUCGCAUGGUGGAUGGUGUAAAGCUCCGGCGGUGCAGGAUGAGCCCGCGGCCUAUCAGCUUGUUGGUGAGGUAGUGGCUCACCAAGGCGACGACGGGUAGCCGGCCUGAAAGGGCGACCGGCCACACUGGGACUGAGACACGGCCCAGACUCCUACGGGAGGCAGCAGUGGGGAAUAUUGCACAAUGGGCGAAAGCCUGAUGCAGCGACGCCGCGUGAGGGAUGACGGCCUUCGGGUUGUAAACCUCUUUCAGCAGGGAAGAAGCGAAAGUGACGGUACCUGCAGAAGAAGCGCCGGCUAACUACGUGCCAGCAGCCGCGGUAAUACGUAGGGCGCAAGCGUUGUCCGGAAUUAUUGGGCGUAAAGAGCUCGUAGGCGGCUUGUCACGUCGGUUGUGAAAAGCCCCGGGGCUUAACCCCCGGGUCUGCAGUCC
rnacentral:rRNA from 1 species